GCGCCCGUAGCUCAGUUGGUUAGAGCGGGCCGCUCAUAACGGCUUGGUCGCAGGUUCGAAUCCUGCCGGGCGCACCA
rnacentral:tRNA from 1 species